rnacentral:snRNA from 1 species
AUACUUACCUGGCAGGGGAGACACCAUGGUCAAGAAGGCGGUUCACCCAGGGCGAGGCUUGCCCAUUGCACUCAGGCCAUGCUGACCCCUGCGAAUUCCCCAAAUGCGGGAAUCUCGACUGCAUAAUUUAUGGUAGUGGGGGACUGUAGCUGUCUCUAU